GACGAACGCUGGCGGCGUGCUUAACACAUGCAAGUCGAACGGUGAAGGGACCGGUUUUUGCUGGUUCUGGAUGAGUGGCGAACGGGUGAGUAACACGUGAGUAACCUGCCCCCUUCUUCUGGAUAACCGCAUGAAAGUGUGGCUAAUACGGGAUAUUCUGCGCCUGCUGCAUGGUGGGUGUGGGAAAGAUAUUGUUUCGGUGGGGGAUGGGCUCGCGGCCUAUCAGCUUGUUGGUGGGGUGAUGGCCUACCAAGGCGGUGACGGGUAGCCGGCCUGAGAGGGUAGACGGUCACACAGGGACUGAGACACGGCCCAGACUGCUACGGGACGCAGCAGUGGGGAAUAUGGCACAAUGGGCGCAAGCCUGAUGCAGCGACGCCGCGUGAGGGAUGGAGGCCUUCGGGUUGUAAACCUCUUUCGCCAGUGAAGCAGGCCUGUCCCUUUUGUGGGUGGGUUGACGGUAGCUGGAGAAGAAGCGCCGGCUAACUACGUG
rnacentral:rRNA from 1 species